AGUGAACGCUGGCGGUAGGCCUAACACAUGCAAGUCGAACGGCAGCACAGUAAGAGCUUGCUCUUACGGGUGGCGAGUGGCGGACGGGUGAGGAAUACAUCGGAAUCUACUUUUUCGUGGGGGAUAACGUAGGGAAACUUACGCUAAUACCGCAUACGACCUACGGGUGAAAGCAGGGGAUCUUCGGACCUUGCGCGAUUGAAUGAGCCGAUGUCGGAUUAGCUAGUUGGCGGGGUAAAGGCCCACCAAGGCGACGAUCCGUAGCUGGUCUGAGAGGAUGGUCGCCCGCCCUGGAACUGAGACACGGUCCAGACUCCUACGGGAGGGCGCAGUGGGGAAUAUUGGACAAUGGGCGCAAGCCUGAUCCAGCCAUACCGCGUGGGUGAAGAAGGCCUUCGGGUUGUAAAGCCGUUUUGUUGGGAAAAAAAAGCAGCAGGUUAAUACGCCGCUGUUCUGACGGUACCCAAAGAAUAAGCACCGGCUAACUUCGUG
rnacentral:rRNA from 1 species